ACAGUUUCUCUGUCUUUUGGCUAAGAUCAGAUAAAGUGUGGUCUCUGUUCUUAUUGGUUUAAUAUCUGUUAUGUCCUCAAUCUGAGGACAGUAUAUUAAUAAGUGGAUUUUUGUAUCAAAGAAAUGGAAUGGAAUUUUUCUCUGCCCAUUAUACUCAUUGUAGUACCUUCAAGAAUGGUGCAUCCUUC